GUGAAGAAACCGGCCGCCAUCUUACGGUGCUCACAACAGUCGCCGCAGCGAUCAUGGCAACUUCUUGCAAUUACGGUCGUACCAACCGUACUGGCAAGGUUACAGGGCCUAAAUUUAUACAGGUUUCGUCAUGAGGGCUACCCAGUGAAUAAUCUGUGUAGUGUGAUACGGCUGGGUGUACAGGUUACUUCACAGCUGCCUUGACAUACUCAAGAAAUGGGUGCAGAACCUGCAUAAUGCCCACAAACUUUGAUUACCACAGCACCUCCAAAAAGUAUGUGUCACAUGGAAUUUUUAACAUGGGAUUCACAGUAUAUAAUACCUUGUAUUAACUGUUGUAGAUCUAAGCCGUCUCUACAGUACACUCUCAGAAAUUAAAACCGUGAGAACCGUGAUAAUUGUUUCAGUUAAUAGGCAUGCACAUAUAUGCUAUAAGAAGAAAAUUAUUUCUUGAGAAUGCACUUCUCUGGCUACUGGUGUUGUUUACAUCUACUGUUGAUCACAUUCAUUUAUCACAUAUUAUAUUCUUAUAUAUAUUAUUAUAUUAACACAUAUUUGAUCACAUUAAAUUCAAAAUUCAUCAUAUAUAAGAAAAUACCAGGAGGGAAGUUGCUAUUCAUUGCUCAUUCUAACCUAAAAUUGAGUGCUACAAAUUUAGAGAGAGUACCUGUCCAUUGUCAUUCCUAAAAUAUAUAUUGUCAUUGUAGCAAGGUCAUAAAACAAUAAAUGUAGUCUUUUGUGACCUCC